UUGCUUUAAUUAUCUCCAAAAGUUAAAACUUAUGCCUACAAAUUCUUAAAUGUGGAAUUGAGUUUUGGAUAGCUAUAUUUAAGCUUCAUUUUACUCUAUUCAAGGUACUAUGGUUCAGAUAAAACCACAAUUGAAAAACUAAAUUGAUCGAAGUCACCGCCUCUUCACAAUCCUAUGUCGACAGAUAAGAAGAAGACCACCAUUUUUAGCUCACAACACCAGAAGCGCCAACACUCAGUGGAAACUACUUCUAAAAUCAACUUUAGAAGACGUGAGCUAUAUCAAAAACUUUCACCUGAUAAAAAAUAGGCUCUUUUAUUGUGUCGAUGAUUAAAAAGGCUUGAAUCAAGAAGUCACUGUGCAAGGGUAUCAUGUUCCCAAACUGGAGUUGAGUUGCAUCCAAAAACAACACUGACAAUAUGUGAGUCAUCUUUUGUUUCUACGAGAGGUUAGAAAUGAGAAAAAUAUUAUGUUCUUUUUGUGUCAUCAAUAGAAAAACUUUUCUCUUUUUCUUCGAUUAUAGUUAGACGCAAUUUUCUAAUGCUCAACAUUCUGCAAUUCCUACACUAGCUGAUAUAUCCUCCAUUCAUGCCACAAAGCCUAUCUCUGACAAAGGAAAAACUAUUGUUGAGUAUUUCACUGUGUUUGAAGUUGUUUCAAUGUCUACUGCACCGCAUCAACACCACGAUUCACGCGCAUUGGCUAUUGCAGAGAAAGGUUUAUCACACUUUAUUUUUCUACCAACUUUUGCUACUAAUCAUUAU